UAAUUUGAGUUGAAUUACUGAAAUAAAUGAACUUUUCCACAACAUUCUAAUUUAUUGAGAUGCACCUGUAAUGCUACAUUUCUGCAAAUCUUGGAUGGCCUGAAAGUACAGUUUCUGCAUAUUUUCAUUUUUGGGUGAGCUAUUCCUUUAAAGAACAAUAUGUGUUUCAAACACUGGGAUAAUAUUUUAGGUCCUGGGUGGGUGGACAAAUGGUGUUUAAAAUUAGUAUGGAAGUGAGGUUUGCUUGUGAACAUGUGAGGGUGGGCAGGUGCUGAUUGUUCUGACCUAUGGCUAAUGGACAGAGAGAAGCUGCAGGCAACACCUCAGGUUUCACAAUGGCGGACAAGUAAGUGUUUUAUGCUUUAUUUUCAUGAACAUGGCAUGAACAAACAUUUUUUUUUUAAAUAUGAUUUUCUUCUCUUUUCUUUUUGCAACCACCAAUAAACAUAACAUCUGCAGCAAAGUAAGUAAAUAGUCUAUUGUAUAUGCAACUGAAAUAAGAGUAAUACUUAAGCUUUAAUAACAUUAUACAAUACUUUUCUGAUAAGGAUAAUGUGAUUUAUAUUCUGCGUAUUUUUAUUCCAAUUUUUU
rnacentral:lncRNA from 1 species